rnacentral:rRNA from 1 species
CAGUCGCCGCGGGAAAACGGAGGGGGCUAGCGUUGUUCGGAAUUACUGGGCGUAAAGCGCACGUAGGCGGCUUUGUAAGUCAGAGGUGAAAGCCCGGGGCUCAACCCCGGAAUUGCCUUUGAGACUGCAUCGCUUGAAUCCAGGAGAGGUGAGUGGAAUUCCGAGUGUAGAGGUGAAAUUCGUAGAUAUUCGGAAGAACACCAGUGGCGAAGGCGGCUCACUGGACUGGUAUUGACGCUGAGGUGCGAAAGCGUGGGGAGCAAACAGGAUUAGAUACCCGGGUAGUCCCUGUCUCUUAUAC